rnacentral:rRNA from 1 species
CCUUCUGGAUUCCUCAGUACGGCGAGUGAGCGGGAAGAGCUCAAAUUUGAAAUCUUCAAGGUUCUACCUUGACGAAUUGUAGUUUAAAGAAGUGUUUUCUGUUGGAGUUUUGGUAAAAGUUCUUUGGAAUAGGACAUCAUAGAGGGUGAGAAUCCCGUAUUUGACCAUUAUUUCCAGCUUUGUGAUACACUUUCAAAGAGUCGGAUUGUUUGGGAAUGCAGUCCAAAAUGGGUGGUAAAUUUCAUCUAAAGCUAAAUAUUGGCGAGAGACCGAUAGCGAACAAGUACCGUGAGGGAAAGAUGAAAAGAACUUUGAAAAGAGAGUUAAACAGUACGUGAAAUUGUCAAAAGGGAAGCGUUUGACACCAGUGUUGUUUUCUCGAAAAUCAAUUAAAAAAGGCUGGAUUUUGUGUUGUAUUGACUUUAUCAGCUUUCUGCACUCUUUUCCUGUCUUUUUUAAUGCACUUUUCGUUUAACAAGUCAACAUCAAUUUCUUUUGUUGUAAAAGGGUCAUUGGAAGGUGGCUUUCUUUUCGGAGAAAGUGUUUAUAGCCUUUGGCCUCUGCAAUCGGAGAGAUUGAGGUCUGCAGCGUAGAUCCUUCGGGGUUAGAUACAUUUGUGCUAAGUUAUAGCCUUUCAUAGACAACUUGUUGACUAUGAUCAGUCAUGUAGCUUACUCGCUUAUGCUAUUUUACCUACGCUUAGGAUGUUGACAAAAUGGUUUUAAACGACCCG